rfam:Clostridium saccharobutylicum DSM 13864, complete genome.
CAAAUUCUGAAAUAUACGUUAAGCUCUUAUUUUGAACCUACAUUUAAAAUUCGGGAGUUCAAUAUUUAGAUGAAGAUAUGUACUUUAUUGUGAGUCCAUUAUGGCAUUUAGAGCGAUUGAAUCAUCUGUGAAGACACCCACCUAUCGAAGGAUAGGUGGCAAAAUCAGAGUACCGAUAUUUUGGAUUUCAU